GAACAGAGUACAGACAAUAUCCUAGGCACAAGGUGGACACAGUAAGGAAAAGAGAGUGGAACUUUCCAAGUUCCUCACCAAACCAGGUGAAAUUCAGACAUGGACAUGGAGUACUUGCCCUCCUACGAGAUGUCCUGGGGUACCUUGGGUACUGUAAGGCCCUUCCUUAACUUCCAUGCUAAGAGAGAUGCUCUGAACAUUCAGACAGCUCUGGAACAGAAAGAUGCACCUACUCUGAUAAAAAUCCUGACCAACCGCAGCAAUGCUCAAAGACAAAUCAUCGCUCAGAUCUUCAAAACCAUCACCGAGAAGGAGCUGUCCUCUGGGCUGAAGAAGGCCCUGUCUGGGGAGUUGGAGAAUUUGCUGUUGGCCUUGAUGAUGACCCCACUGCAGUUUGAGGCCUAUCGUCUGAGACAAUCCAUGGAGGGCAUUGGCACAGAUGAGGAGGGUUUGCUAGAGAUUCUGUGCACCAGGUCACCCAAGGCGCUUGCCAACAUCACCUCCACCUACAAGGAGCAGUAUAAUAAGGAUCUGGAGACAGACCUGAAGGGUGAGACCAGUGGGGACUUUGCCAAACUCGUCCUGGCCUUACUCAAGAAGAAAAAGAUAGUAGGAAUGGUGCAAAGAGACACAGAGGCUCUCGCUGAAGCUAUCAAUCAGGCGAAGGCAGAUCCUGGACCAUGGAUCACCAUUCUGACUACCAGAGACUCUGAACAUCUUAAUAAAGUGUUCGUCAAUUUGGAGAGUGAGAAGCAAGAGACAGUGGAUAAAGCAAUAGAGAAAGCAUUCAGUGGAGAUGUGAGACUUGGGCUGAAAACAUUGGUACGUUGCAUACAGAGCCCAAACCUCUACCUGGCUCAGAGACUGGAGACCAUGAAGGCAGCCAUAGUCCAGGGGGUGAUGGUGUCCCACAGUGAGGAGGAUCUGCUGUGUGUGAGAGUGGCUUAUCUCAGACAGACGGGCACCUCACUCUAUACAGCCCUACAGGUUGCCUUUCCUUCACCGGGCUGGCCAUUUGGGAAAUUUUGAGCAGAAUUAGAGUAUGCCCACUUCUCCAGGCACCACCACACCACUGUGUGUACCCACCCACCAGAUAAACAAUUCAAAGGAGAUCACCUACAAGCACUGCUGGCUAUCUGCCGAUCUGAAGACUAAAGGAAUGAGUUUUGUGUACAAUUUCACAUUAGCUCAGCCUACACAUUACUAUUCACAUUUGUGUAUUUACAGUAGACAGAUGUAGGAUCUUAAUUUGAGCCAGUUUGCUACAGCAGGAAAACAAUCCUGCAUCAACUGGAUAUGUGAAUUGUUAUGUAGAUUAUAAUUAAUACCAAAUAUUGGAGCGGUUGAUACAUUUUCUUAAGGAAAAAUCAAGUCUGAAAUCAAGUGAAAAUUACAAACUUCAGAAGUCUUUUUAAACAUUACAUUCCCUGCAUUGCAGGAAAGUUCUCCUUCAACACGGGGAUCAAAUUAAGAUCCUACAUCUGUAUUGCUCUAUGUCUCAUUCCUGCAUGGUAAUACAAGAAAAUCAACCUUUGUCCUAUUGCUAAUGCUCAUAAUGCCUAAUGUUACAGUAAAGUCACACCUUCAACUCAA